rnacentral:rRNA from 1 species
UGCAAGUCGAGCGGACCGACGGGAGCUUGCUCCCUUAGGUCAGCGGCGGACGGGUGAGUAACACGUGGGUAACCUGCCUGUAAGACUGGGAUAACUCCGGGAAACCGGGGCUAAUACCGGAUGCUUGAUUGAACCGCAUGGUUCAAUCAUGAAAGGCGGCUUCGGCUGCCGUUUACAGAUGGACCCGCGGCGCAUUAGCUAGUUGGUGAGGUAACGGCUCACCAAGGCGACGAUGCGUAGCCGACCUGAGAGGGUGAUCGGCCACACUGGGACUGAGACACGGCCCAGACUCCUACGGGAGGCAGCAGUAGGGAAUCUUCCGCAAUGGACGAAAGUCUGACGGAGCAACGCCGCGUGAGUGAUGAAGGUUUUCGGAUCGUAAAGCUCUGUUGUUAGGGAAGAACAAGUACCGUUCGAAUAGGGCGGUACCUUGACGGUACCUAACCAGAAAGCCACGGCUAACUACGUGCCAGCAGCCGCGGUAAUACGUAGGUGGCAAGCGUUGUCCGGAAUUAUUGCGCGUAGAGCGCGCGCACGCGGUUUCUUAAGUCUGAUGUGAAAGCCCCCGGCUCAACCGGGGAGGGUCAUUGGAAACUGGGGAACUUGAGUGC